UAUAAUUUGUACCAAAGGGAACGAAAAACGAAGAAACAAGAUGUAAAUAGAAAGAAAAGAAUGGCAUAUGAGUGGAAUUAGAUUAGGUAAGACGAUACCAAAACUAUAUGAAAUACAGAGAAAUAAGACUGUGUUGACGCGAUAGCGUAAUAAGGCCAGUACGCUAAUUGGGUCUUUUAUACGUGUGAGGUGUAAGUGUUGUCCGUGAUAAUUGUAGGCUGCUGCUAGCUGCAGACGUCGUCGCUGCUGGGGUACUGCUGAUUUUCUUCCGUUUUUGAAGCGUAGAAGAAAAAUCGGACUCCGGUCGCCGGGAUUCGUACCCGGGUCCCAAACGUUCGUAAUCUAAGACGCUACUAACCACUGCGCUGCCGUCGUCCGACUCUAGUUAGUGUCGAGUGGUGGUAUUUGCUGUUGAGUGCCGCCACACAUGUUAAGUUUAUUCGAAAGUACUAGAACAAGAAAUUAUUGGACGGAGUGGUCGAUCUGAACCCUACGUAGUUCAUGACCAACAUCUUCAUCUCCACGGUGGCUAGGCCGUCUGACGAACACGCAUGUUCCACGAUUGUAGAGUCUUACGCGGUCGGAGCUGUGUAAGAUAUUUUUGUAUCUGGAAGUUUAACAUAAAGUAUAAAUUGCCGGCGAGCAUGGAUGGUGCAAAUGGAGAAGCGGACUCUAGCGAAUAACGAGCAGCAGAAGGAGUAACAAGAAGAAAAAGGAAAAGAGCGUUUAAUCGCUGAUGAUGAGAAAAUGUAUUAUCUCGUUGGUUGCGUGCGAGCGUUGGAGAAAAUGUGUGAAACGUGGGAAGCGCAGGAAGAAGUAGUUCGUGAAUGUGUAAAUAAGAUGUGUAAAUAAAAGCGUUUAGAAAUGUAAAACGUUUUGCGCAAAGCAGCUAGUGAUAAGAGCGUAAAAGUAUAGAGUGAAAAGACGAGGUGUGUAAUAAAGAUGUAUAAAUAAAAUAAACGCGUACCUAACUUGAGUGUGUGAAAAAGUGGAGCGGGAAAGGUAAUAGCGAUGUUGAUUUAGUGUGGGAAUUUGUCAAAACAUGGGUUAGUUUUGUUAGAAAAUUGUAAAAUAUGUAAAAUGAUUGUAGACGUCAAAAGCGUGAAAGUUGAAAGAAGUAAGAAAAGAAGGAAAAGAGAGUAUAAAAUGAUAUUAAGUAAUACAUAAGGCAAUAUAAUUUUCUGGAUGGCAAAAGAAUGGACUUGUUUGGAUUCUAGGAGACUAAAGAAUAAACGAAGAUACAUUUAGGAGAUA